AUGAACGCUGGCGGCGUGCCUAAUACAUGCAAGUCGAACGAGUUCUCGUUGAUGAUCGGCGCUUGCACCGAGAUUCAACAUGGAACGAGUGGCGGACGGGUGAGUAACACGUGGGUAACCUGCCCUUAAGUGGGGGAUAACAUUUGGAAACAGAUGCUAAUACCGCAUAGAUCCAAGAACCGCAUGGUUCUUGGCUGAAAGAUGGCGUAAGCUAUCGCUUUUGGAUGGACCCGCGGCGUAUUAGCUAGUUGGUGAGGUAAUGGCUCACCAAGGCGAUGAUACGUAGCCGAACUGAGAGGUUGAUCGGCCACAUUGGGACUGAGACACGGCCCAAACUCCUACGGGAGGCAGCAGUAGGGAAUCUUCCACAAUGGACGCAAGUCUGAUGGAGCAACGCCGCGUGAGUGAAGAAGGCUUUCGGGUCGUAAAACUCUGUUGUUGGAGAAGAAUGGUCGGCAGAGUAACUGUUGUCGGCGUGACGGUAUCCAACCAGAAAGCCACGGCUAACUACGUGCCAGCAGCCGCGGUAAUACGUAGGUGGCAAGCGUUAUCCGGAUUUAUUGGGCGUAAAGCGAGCGCAGGCGGUUUUUUAAGUCUGAUGUGAAAGCCCUCGGCUUAACCGAGGAAGCGCAUCGGAAACUGGGAAACUUGAGUGCAGAAGAGGACAGUGGAACUCCAUGUGUAGCGGUGAAAUGCGUAGAUAUAUGGAAGAACACCAGUGGCGAAGGCGGCUGUCUGGUCUGUAACUGACGCUGAGGCUCGAAAGCAUGGGUAGCGAACAGGAUUAGAUACCCUGGUAGUCCAUGCCGUAAACGAUGAAUGCUAGGUGUUGGAGGGUUUCCGCCCUUCAGUGCCGCAGCUAACGCAUUAAGCAUUCCGCCUGGGGAGUACGACCGCAAGGUUGAAACUCAAAGGAAUUGACGGGGGCCCGCACAAGCGGUGGAGCAUGUGGUUUAAUUCGAAGCAACGCGAAGAACCUUACCAGGUCUUGACAUCUUUUGAUCACCUGAGAGAUCAGGUUUCCCCUUCGGGGGCAAAAUGACAGGUGGUGCAUGGUUGUCGUCAGCUCGUGUCGUGAGAUGUUGGGUUAAGUCCCGCAACGAGCGCAACCCUUGUCAUUAGUUGCCAGCAUUAAGUUGGGCACUCUAAUGAGACUGCCGGUGACAAACCGGAGGAAGGUGGGGAUGACGUCAAAUCAUCAUGCCCCUUAUGACCUGGGCUACACACGUGCUACAAUGGAUGGUACAACGAGUUGCGAGACCGCGAGGUCAAGCUAAUCUCUUAAAGCCAUUCUCAGUUCGGACUGUAGGCUGCAACUCGCCUACACGAAGUCGGAAUCGCUAGUAAUCGCGGAUCAGCACGCCGCGGUGAAUACGUUCCCGGGCCUUGUACACACCGCCCGUCACACCAUGAGAGUUUGUAACACCCGAAGCCGGUGGCGUAACCCUUUUAGGGAGCGAGCCGUCUAAGGUGGGACAAAUGAUUAGGGUG
rnacentral:rRNA from 1 species